UACGGGGGGGGGCAAGCGUUGUUCGGAAUUACUGGGCGUAAAGGGCUCGUAGGCGGCCAACUAAGUCAGACGUGAAAUCCCUCGGCUUAACCGGGGAACUGCGUCUGAUACUGGAUGGCUUGAAUCCGGGAGAGGGAUGCGGAAUUCCAGGUGUAGCGGUGAAAUGCGUAGAUAUCUGGAGGAACACCGGUGGCGAAGGCGGCAUCCU
rnacentral:rRNA from 1 species